UUGUCCUGCUGCUUAUACCCACGCUGAAGCUGUUCGUUUACUAUUUUGGUGACACCUGGUUUAUUUGCAAUUCAACAACAGCAGCUACGAUUCACUCACUGUGCACAAAGCUCUCUAUAUUGAAGUCUUACUACUGUUCGUUUUUCUAGGUAACUGAAGCUCAUCUGAAUGCUAUGCCAAUCAAAGGAAGAGUUCUGCUGCUUACAAACUGUUUGAAGACUGCUGCUCUAAUCAUAGCUUGAUUAAUUUUUCCAUCAAGAGAAUGGCACUACAUAUUUUGUAGAGGCAAAAAUAAUACAGAUUUUGCCUAAUGGAAUGCUUCCAAGGUCACUGUGAGGAUGAAUGGACUCGCAUUCAAAAAGCACUUCGGAAUCCUAGACAGGCUGAAGUGAAGUGACAUCAGCUUGCCCUCUGUUCUUGGCAAUGGAAGAGCUUCUUGAGAUGAGAAAGCCUGGGUUACUUCAGCUGCUCGUCACUUCCAUUAAGUUCUCUGGAUGUUGCAGCCUGACUUCUGCCCAGUCCUGAGAGUAGGGCUCCCAAAAGCCAACAGAAAUGUCUCCAUCACCAAAGAGAGAAAAUCAAGGCUCAGAGAGAUGAUCUGACUUGGACAAUUUUCGAGUGACACAGCUGGAUUCACACCCAGAUCUCUCUGACUUGAAAGUACCUGUUGUCCAGAAAAAAAGACGUAAGUGGAAAAAUCAGUGAGACUUGAAAAUAGGAGCUUAGUUUAGUUAAUAGUAAUGAACCAAUGUUGGAUGGUUUUGAUCAUUGCAGGAUGGUUAUGUGAGCUGUGAAGAGUAGAGAAACUUGGGUGAAGGUUAUAUGGGAACCCUGCACUAUUUUGCACCUUUUUGUAACUCUAAAAUUAUUUCAAAAUAAAAAGUUACAGCCAGGCA